rnacentral:snRNA from 1 species
ACGUGCAAAUCGUUCGUCUGA